CGUCCAGACUCCUACGGGAGGCAGCAGUGAGGAAUAUUGGUCAAUGGCCGAGAGGCUGAACCAGCCAAGUCGCGUGAGGGAUGACGGCCCUACGGGUUGUAAACCUCUUUUGUCGGGGAGCAAAGCGAACCACGUGUGGUUCAUUGAGAGUACCCGAAGAAAAAGCAUCGGCUAACUCCGGGCCAGCAGCCGCGGUAAUACGGAGGAUGCGAGCGUUAUCCGGAUUUAUUGGGUUUAAAGGGUGCGUAGGCGGGAUGCCAAGUCAGCGGUAAAAAUGCGGUGCUCAACGCCGUCGAGCCGUUGAAACUGGCAGUCUCGAGUUGGAGAGAAGUAUGCGGAAUGCGCGGUGUAGCGGUGAAAUGCAUAGAUAUCGCGCAGAACUCCGAUUGCGAAGGCAGCAUGCCGGCUCCACACUGACGCUGAGGCACGAAAGCGUGGGUAUCGAACAGGAUUAGAUACCCGCGUAU
rnacentral:rRNA from 1 species